rnacentral:rRNA from 1 species
UACGGAGGGUGCAAACGUUGCUCGGAAUCAUUGGGCGUAAAGCGCACGUAGGCGGUCUUUUAAGUCGGGUGUGAAAGCCCUGGGCUCAACCCAGGAAGUGCACUCGAAACUGAAAGGCUAGAGUACGGAAGAGGGUCUCGGAAUUCCCGGUGUAGAGGUGAAAUUCGUAGAUAUCGGGAGGAACACCAGUGGCGAAGGCGGAGACCUGGGCCGAUACUGACGCUGAGGUGCGAAAGCGUGGGGAGCAAACAGGG